CUGCUUUGUUUACCCAAGCAAGCCUGGGCAAUGGCGGGCGCCCCUCCCCCAGCCUUGCUGCGGCCUUGCAGUUUGAUCUCAGACUGCUGUGCUAGCAAUCAGCGAGACUCCGUGGGCGUAGGACCCUCCUAGCCAGGUGCAAGAUAUAAUCUCGCGGUGCGCCGUUUUUUAAGCCGGUCCGAAAGCGCAAUAUUCGGGUGGGAGAGACCCGAUUUUCCAGUGAGAUGAACCCAGUACCUCAGAUGGAAAUGCAGAAAUCACCCGUCUUCUGCGUCGCUCACGCUGGGAGCUGUAGACCGGAGCUGUUGCUAUUCGGCCAUCUUGGCUCCUCUCCUGCACUGCAAGAAUGGACUAAUACGCUAUGUGAAGACAAAGGGGAUGUCUGCAAGCCAGGACGAGUGCGUCUACCAGAAACUGAGUUCUGCUGGACUUUGAUCUAGGACAUCCAGCCUCCAGAAUGGAAUGUGCCAUAUGUGGAGACCUGCAUGGAAAGGAACUGAGGAUGCUCUCUCACUAAAAGCUAGAAGGAACUGAGGCCCUCAGUCAACAGUCUACAAGACACUGAAUCUUGCCAGCAGCCAAGCAGUGAGCUUGAAAGCAGAUCUAUCAUCAGCUGAACCUUCAGAUGAGACCGCAGCCUAAGCAGAUACCUUGGUUGCAGCCAUGUGAGACAACCUGAAACAGAGGGCACAGCUAAGCCUCAGCCAGGUUCAUGACCCUCUGAGGAAACUGUGAGAAAGCAAAUGUCAUUUUAAGCUAUUUAAUUUUGGAGGUAGUUUAUUACACAACAAUAAAUAACUAUUAUAAUUAUCUUGAGGAUUUAUUUCCUGGGGAGAAUACAUGGAAUUGCAUAUAUAGGUCCUCAUAUGCAGAAUACUGGUACCCUAGAGAUGUUCACCCCAGAGAUGUUUUAGGAACCUGUGAAUAUGUUACAUUAAAUGGCAAAGUUUUCCUGGAUGGUUUAAGUUUAAGAUGGAAAAGUUUUACUGGAUUAUCCAGUGGGUCCAAUCUAGUAACAUGAGUCCUUAAAAAUGGAGAAUAUUUUUUGGCCAUGAUCAGAGAGACAUGUGAUGAUGGAAAAAGUGUCAGAGAUGCAAUGUGAGGGGACUAAAACUGCUGUUGCUGACUUUAAAGAUGGAGAGAGGGGAACCCGAGUCAAGGAAUGCAAAUGGCCUCUGGAAGCUGGAAAAAGCAAGAAAUGGAUUCUCCUUUAGAGCCUGUGGAAUAAAAUGCAGUCAUGCUGACACCUUGAUUUUACCUCAGUGAGACCAAUACUGGAGUAUGACCUUCGGAGCUGAAUAAAAUUAUACGUACACAUCUUAAUUUCUUGGGAUUUGAUUACUUCUUCUGCUUUGAAAUUAGACCAAGUUUAGCCUGCCUUUGCUAUUUUGGCGUAUCUCCAAUUCUUCAUGAUUUUCUCAUAGUGUUGCCUCCAUAUGAUGCAAAAUAUCCAACCUAGCCCUGACAUGAAAACUUAAUUGAAAGUAUCCAACAGUGGCGCAAAGGCCACAUAAGGACAGUGAGAAGGCAGCCACCUGCAAGCCAGGAAGAAAGGUCUCACCAGAUACCAACCCUGCCAGCAUGUUGAUCUUGGACUUCCAGCCUCCAAAACUGGCCUUCUGCUCACAUGGGCUUCCGUGCACCUGCUUCAGGAGACAGCAACACUUGCGCCCGCACCGCGGCAGGCUCCCAUCACCUGGUGGAUAUGCCGCGCCGAGUCUCAUCACACCUUAGUGAAGGAACACAUGGACCCAUAUGUUAGCGGAUGUAUUUACAUCGUUUUAUACAGAAAGGGGAA
rnacentral:lncRNA from 1 species